UACGUAGGCAGCAAGCGUUGUUCGGAAUUACUGGGCGUAAAGAGUGUGUAGGCGGUGCUCUAAGUUCGGUGUGAAAUCUCCCGGCUCAACUGGGAGGGUGCGCCGAAAAACUGGGGUGCUGGAGCGCGGGAGAGGAAAGCGGAAUUCCUGGUGUAGCGGUGGAAAUGACGUAGAUAUCAGGAGGAACACCGGCGGUGUAGACGGCUUUCUGGACCGUAGCUGACGCUGAGACACGAAAGCGUGGGUAGCAAACAGG
rnacentral:rRNA from 1 species